UACGUAGGGUGCAAGCGUUGUCCGGAAUCAUUGGGCGUAAAGCGCGCGUAGGCGGCCCGAUAAGUCCGCUGUGAAAGUCAACGGCUCAACUGUUGAAAGGCGGUGGAUACUGUCGGGCUAGAGUGCGGAAGAGGUAAGUGGAAUUCCUGGUGUAGCGGUGGAAUGCGCAGAUAUCAGGAGGAACACCUAUAGCGAAGGCAGCUUGCUGGGACGUUACUGACGCUAAGGCGCGAAAGCGUGGGGAGCGAACAGG
rnacentral:rRNA from 1 species